CCAGAAGGGAGUUCCCCUGGCCUCGUGUUGCGUUUGGCACUUAAUAAUGCAGCCGCUGUCCUAGAAGGCUCUCCCACCACCACCUUCCCGCCCCACACAGGACUGCAGAGAGUUAUUCUAACAGGAGGGAUGACAGCCUCUGUUGAGACACCAGUGGAACCACAGGAGGACACAGUUCUGUCCACGCAGGGCCAGACCAGACAGGCACCCAGCGUCCAGAAGAGGGCAGUCUGGACUGUGAGAUGGGACAGUUGGGGGGACUCCCGGAGGGCCGGUAAUGCUCCAGUUCCUGAUUGGGUGUUGGUUAUAUGGAGUCACUUUGUGAAAAGUGACUUUUCUUGCACUUUUCUGUAUAUGGUAUUCAAUAUUUACCAAAAAA